AAACAUUACAGCACCGGACCCGGGUCUGAGACGCACUGUGUGUGCAGUGGACUGCCCUGUUACCCCCGCUGAAGCCCCCGGUAGUUAAGAUUACAAGACCCGAACCGGACCUGGACCCGACCCGGGACACCGGAGACGAACCGCGUGUGUGUGUGUGUGUGGUGUGUGUGUAGUGGACUGCCAAACUGUUAACCCCAAACAGUCAUUAUGGCCUGUUCGAUUCCCACCGUGGCGGACCUGCUGGCGGAGGCGCGGCUCCUGUUCGGUCAGGUGUUCGGAGGAGACGUCCCGCACGUGGCGGCGUGCGCCCCGGGGAGAGUCAACCUGAUCGGGGAGCACACCGACUACAACCAGGGGGUGGUGCUCCCGAUGGCGUUGCCCCUGGUUACCGUGGUGGUGGGGAGGCGGACCCCGGGCCCGGGCGUUACCGUGGUAACAGGGACGAAGGAUGCGGACGAGCCCCACAGGGUGGACCUGGUCCUGCCCCCCGGCGGCGCCCCGCUGCCCCCGGGGUCGCCCCGCUGGGCCAACUACGUGAAGGGCGUGGUGGAACAUUACCGAGGUCCGGUCCAGGGCUUCAGAGCGGUGGUGGUCAGCAGCGUGCCGCUGGGCGGAGGUCUGUCCAGCUCCGCCUCUCUGGAGGUGGCCUUCUACACCUUCCUGCAGCAGCUAGAGCCAGAUGACGGAGACCUGGUGUCCAAAGCUGUGGCCUGCCAGCAGGCGGAGCACAGCCACGCCGGCGUCCCCUGUGGCAUCAUGGACCAGUUUGUGUCGGUUCUGGGUCGGGAGGGCCACGCUCUGCUCAUCGACUGCCGGUCUCUGGAGUUCUCCCCCGUCCCCCUCUCGGACCCCGACCUCGUCAUCCUCAUCACCAACUCCAACGUGAAGCACUCCCUGACGGGCAGCGAGUAUCCCAGCAGGCGGAGGCAGUGCGAGGAGGCCGCCUCCGCCCUGGGGAGGCGGAGCCUGAGGGAGGCCAGCAUGGAGGAGCUGGAGGACGCCCGGCCCCGGAUGGACGCCGUCACCUUCCGCCGCGCUCGCCACGUGAUCGAGGAGAUCCGCCGGACGCUGGACGCCGUGGAGGCGCUGAGACGAGGAGCCUACCAGGAGUUCGGCAGACUGAUGGUGGAGAGCCACAACUCUCUGAGGGACCUGUUCGAGGUGAGCUGCAUCGAGCUGGACCAGCUGGUGGCGGCCGCCUUGGAGGUGGAGGGCGUGUACGGCAGCCGCAUGACGGGCGGAGGCUUCGGCGGCUGCACCGUCACCCUGCUGGAGGCCCGGGCCGUGGACCGGACCGUCCUCCACCUGCAGGUGCGUCUUCUCCACUAUAACUUGCGCCACGGGCCGGAAAACUACGAGCUGCGCACGUGCUCGGUUCGAGCGUUCGCCGUCGACCUGUUUUGUACCUGGAGGGCCUUUCUGGCUCUGCUCUGCGAGCGGUUCUGCUACAGGACGUCCCAGGGCGCCGCCCGGCCUCACCCGUGCGACCCUGGAGGGAGCCGCCUGAGGCUGGAGUGGGCGCCGAGGCCCGACCAGCUCCCGCAGGACCAGUACGACAAGCAGCGCUACCGCGGGCUGGCCGUGCGCGACGCCGAGGCGGCGGCGGCGGCGGACGACGUCCCGCUGGGCCCCCGCCCCGUCGGCGACAUGCAGAGCUUCCUGGAGGAGCUGCUGAAGGUGUCUCUGGCCGAAGGGUUCCGGGUGGACCUGGCCUCGCCGGACCCGGCCGACGUCCUCCACUGCGCUUCGCUCCGACUGGUGAAGGGCUGAAGGCAGCCGAGAGUCCAGGAGCAGGACCGACACCGGGAUCCGCCCCUGGUCCUGAUCACUCACCACUUUAACAUCCAGCAUUCUAUCAAUGCGAUUGUCUUUCUGUAAUGAGUCAGUCUCUUUAAAACUGGCAUAUCCUCUCAAAUCUACUCAGACUAAAUAAUCCCAAUAAUCCCAACCCCAAGUGGUCAGAAGUUCACAUUCUCUACACUUUGAAGGAUGAAGCCUUUGCUUUCUGAACACACUCCACACCUGCAGCGACCUGCGACCUUCACGACCUUCACCUCCAACAUCAAGACAAACCGCUGACUGCUGUUAAAGCCUAAAGCUGCUGCGUGGCAUUAGAUUUCCUGUCAUGACAUUUCAUGGAGAUGUUUCGAUGCUUUUGCUCUUUCAACACUACUUUGUUGAUGUGUAACCAGAUGUUGAGUUGAGCCUGCAGAGAGAAAAUGAGUCCAUAUUGACUGGAACGUGUCGUCAGGACCGCCUGUCCUUUUCCAUUCAUCAUUCCUCUACUUUCACCAUUUCUGGAUGAGUUGAGAGCUGACGUGUCUGAGAGGACACCUUCAAUCUGAACCGUCUGAAGCGACGUUCUGACAGUGAGUCUGAAGACUUCAGGUAUAUCACAUAACUGAACACGGAUGGCCUUGGUUAAGAGUUGUUGAAUGAAGUCAUCAGAGGCCUCCAUCUAAACUGGUGUUUGACAGUAAACGAUAAAACAUCCAGCCCACCUGCCCAGUCCUGUGGUUGCUGUGGUCUGAUUGGUGGACUGGAGUCAGGAUGAGUCCCCGGACUGGACGCCAUAGUGGAACAGAGCCCGGUAGCUCGUCUGCUGGAUCAGACCACGAGGGCCAGCCUUCAUCCCCGCCUCUGUCUGUGAGCCUUUUCUCUGGACUCCAUCACAGAUUCAUGUGUUUUCCUUCUCUGGAGCAGCUUUGAUGGAGCGGGCCUCUGCAGAUCAGCAUUCCACCAGAAGACCUGCUGCUCUGGAGCUAAUCGGACUCUUCCAGCUGUCGGAGACGUUCCUUCCUGCCCCAGGUGUCAAACCUCCAGAGGCGGAUUUUGAGACGUGAGACGUGCUGCUUCUGGAGGUCCUCGCUCACAGCUUCCGGGACGUCUGCCGCGAACAUCCUGGUUCCAGACUCACACCUUCUCUUCUGGAAUGUGAUGAAAUCCAGAUGGACUCCUCAUCAGCCAGGUGGUCAUAAUGUUGUGGCUGUCCCUGGUUCCUCGCUGGUCCUGUCCUCACUGCGUCUGUCUCCGUCUUCUGUCUCUCAACAGGAGCGAUUCAGCGGGACUCCCACUUUCUACGUGACGACUCCGUCAGAAGGAGCUCGAGCGCUGGCCCUGUCCUGAGCGCCGGACGGAUCCUGUCCUGAGCGCCGGACGGAUCCUGUCCUGAGCGCCGGACGGAUCCUGUCCUGAGCGCCGGACGGAUCCUGUCCUGAGCGCCGGACGGAUCCUGUCCUGAGCGCCGGACGGAUCCUGUCCUGAGCGCCGGACGGAUCCUGUCCUCCGCCAUCGAAGUGCCUGGACGCCUGGACGCCUGCUCCGCCCACAGCUUUCCACAGCCGCCGUCUGUCACAUGAUUUCGACAGCCUGGACGCUCUCACUCAAAAUCAUUACAUGUAAUGAACAGAACUUAUUAUGGGAUGGAUUUCCUGGCAUUGCUUGAUUUUUCAGGGUGAUUAUUUUUUUAAUGUAAAUGUCAAAACGCUGUGAAAUGUGUGUGGUGUUAUUACGAAAUACAGACGCGCUCCUGAGACUCGG